rnacentral:lncRNA from 1 species
CAGGACCCAGAAUAAGCGCCGCCUCCGCCCCGCCUCCCCCGCCCCACGUGAUCCUUAGGUGAGUGGUUCUCAAACUUAAAUGGAGAUGAGGGCACGAUUCCCUCGCGGACCUAACUCAACCCCAGGCAGUCUCUGUGACAAACGGGAAAGGAAUCCCACAGGCCAGGGCUGGGCGCGCUGGGCCCAGUGUGGACCGCACUCGGCCAUCACCUGUCUGCGCACCUGAACCCACUGAGGAUGCAACCCAGCGAGCUGGGUCUACUCAACCCUCGGACAUUGAACCUGUUGAACUUGCUGAAGUUAAAGCCCUCCCAGGAUGCAAGUGAUCCUAAAAACAGAAAUCAUAACAACACCCAGGAGUCAUUAAAAGCACCUGGAGCACGUAAUCUGUUCCAAAUGGGAAAAGCCUGCCCAAGAAGACCAGGGAUGGUCCACAGAGCCUCAGCCCUUCCCUCCGGUGAUGUAAAAUCUCCCCCUAGACUUGGCUACACAAGCCUGGGGUGCAUCUCACUUGCCUCUCUUCUUCCCUCUUUACCGUCUUUCUUUCUACCUUUCCUGGUUACCCUCUGGCUGCUGGAUUGAGGCUGAAGAUGGGGUGUCAGGAACAUACAUGUAGAGCUGCUGUUGAUGCACUUGCUGGGCAAUCUAUAUUCACCAUUCAUUUAUCCUUACCAAAACCUGGAAGGGAGGCAUUUCCUCCCGUUACACAGGUAGAGGAAUUGAGGCUAAGAGAGCUUCUCUAAGUCCUGAAGGCCAUUAUCCCGGUCACUAGGUGAUCUCUUUCUGUUUCAAAACCAAUCUUCUCCGAG